AGUAUGGCUGAGUGCAGCCCUAAGUCUGCAGCCCUUGCUGCGGUGCCACUACGCCGCAUCCAACUCUGGUUACCAUUGGACCUGUGGGGGCCCUGCUCAGUGAUUGGUCGACGCUGCAAUGGGCCCCACCCACAAGCAACCAACUGUCAAAGAGAGACCUUUUAGUGGUCCUGCUCAAUCAUUGGUCAGCACAGCAGUGAGCCCCGCCCACAAGCAACCAGCUGUCAAGGAGGGACUGUUAGUUGAGAGGAUUCAGCCAACCGAAUCAGGCAGUGGAGUGGUGGUCGUCAGGCAGAGAGUGAGACUAGUUAUUCUGCUGCUGCUGCUGCUGCUGCUGCUAAGUCGCUUCAGUCAUGUCCGACUCUUUGCGACCCCAUAGACGGCAGCCCAUGAGGCUCCCCCGUCCCUGGGAUUCUCCAGGCAAGAACACUGGAGUGGGUUGCCAUUUCCUUCUCCAAUGCAUCAAAUUGAAAAGUGAAAAUGAAGUUGCUCAAUUGUGCCCGACUCUUAGUGACCCAUGGACUGCAGUCUACCAGGCUCCUCCAUCCCUGGGAUUUUCCAGUUUAACAGAUGGGCUAAAGAGAGGCUGCCCAGGGAUCAGGAGAAGUGUGUGCAUGCUCAGUUGUGUCCAACUCACUGUGACCUCACAGACUGUAGCCCGCCAGUCUCCUCUGUCCAUGGGAUUUUCCCAGCAAGAAUACUGAGUGGGUGGCCAUUCCCUUCUCCAGGGGAUCUUCCUGACCCAAGGAUCAAACCCAUGUCUCCUGCAUUGGCAGGCAGGUUCUUUAUCACUGAGCCACCUGGGAAUCCAGGCUUGCUUUUUCCUGAAGAUGUAGACAAAAGUGACCUUGUGCCCUUGACCUUUUCCAUUUGCCUCUCUGUCAACUCUUCACCUGUUGACGGCAUCGGUGGUUCCCUUGCCCUCUGUCUCCUGGUAGGUUUGAUAGUAGGAACAUCUACUGUAUACUGGAGGUUAGGAGGGGAGCAGGGUCAGAAUAUUUAUUCUCUCAGAUCCCUUCUUGCUAGGUUGCUGUGAGUUGCCUGUGUCCAUCUAUCUAUGAUCACAAGUCUUGCCAGGAAGUUCAUACUUUCUAUGAGAGGCUAAGAUAGAUGGUCUCUCUUCUUGCCCUUUCAGCGUCUUUGAACAAAAGAAGCACUAAUAAGAAGCAUUGCCUGUGUCUUUUAGAAACCUGAAGUCAGUGAGGUGAAACCCAAUAUCAAGAAUUUGAAGCAAAGUAACUUGUGGAGAAGAAAUGUAAAGAAAACAUUAGUGGUUUGGCUAAAGCCUAAUUAGAGCAAAGUGCAUUAAG
ensembl:lncRNA